rnacentral:tRNA from 1 species
GGGCCCUUAGCUCAGGUGGACAGAGCAUCGGACUACGAAUCCGGGGGUCAGAGGUUCGAAUCCUCUAGGGCCCACCA